ensembl:lncRNA
GAAAGGAAGCACAAUCAGAGGAGGCGAGAAGAGGAUUAGCGUUUUGUUUACGCUAAUUGUAGCCUCGGCUAUUUUGGUGUUCUCCUAGUCCGGUAGUAGUUAAGCGCUAUUUGGUGACUCUCUGGUGGGUCUUGUGCUUCCUGUACUUCGGGUAAAGGUUUGUAUAUAUAUAUAUAUAUAUAUAUAUAUAUAUAUAUAUAUUUUGUUUGUAUAUAUUAGUAUGUAUAUAAUGCACAAAGGUGUAGAAAGACAUAGAUAAGUGUGUGUUCCACUUCUUGUUAAUGUACAGAGAAUUGAAAUACACAAACAAGGACACAAGUCAAACCUGAAAACAAUAGUUUUAUUCAUAUAGGAAUCCAUGUGUUUAUUAGAUGAUUUAUUGGUUCAACUUUUCAUAAUCAGAGAUUGGGCCAAAAUAUACUGGUGGGCUGUUCGAUACAUUUGCACUACAAGUUUUCAACAGCAGACGUCAUCAUAGAGUUUGAGAUGCAUUGAAUGAAUGAACCUUUUUACGAUACGAUUGGCUGGAAAACUUCACUGCUUCAUAAAGCUUCAUAGAGCUUCACUGCUUCAUAAAGCUUCACUGCUUCAUAGAGCUUCAAUGCUUCAUAAAGCUUCAUAGAGCUUCACUGCUUCAUAAAGCUUCAUCUGGCCGUCACUAGUAAACAGCAGAAUGUGCACAGAGGAACUGAAGUCACACAGAAAGAACUACAGAACAGGAGUUUGCUGGACAACACGAGCAGAGCUACUGAGCCACGUUACCACGUAGGAGUAUUAACAAGGUGCCACUGGAGAGGUGAACAGCCCGGCUCUAAAUACUGCAGGGGUGGAUCAUGGAAUGUGGAUCAGCUGUGUAGGAAUGGAGCAGGAUGAACGGCCACGCCUCCUCACCUGCUUCCUCUAGACACGCCCCUUUUCUCUUCUGGUUGAUGCUUCAGCAAAACCAGAGCUACAAGACAAAGAGUUUGGCGCAAAUCCGGUUGAUGCGCGUGAAUCAAACAUCGUGGACGUGAACUUCCUCGCUCGCGAGGUUAAUCUCUGCUCGCGCUCGAAGGUGUUGUUAUUGACAGCAAGGGGGCGGAGCCAGUCACCGGCAUCUCCACGUCUGAUUGGUUCCACUUUUGGUCCUUGGAUUGGCUGGAUUUCGUCCCCGUUGACCGUUGUGAAUCCCCAGAACUGAUGGAGCAGGAUGAACGGAUCGGAUUAACGGUACCUGAGGUGUGCAAGUGGUACAUGAAGACAGACAAUGUCCCUCUCUGUCUUCUUCACAAAUGGCUGUGGAAACCCCUCACCAUGUCCUCCGGCCUCAAACGUUGGAGCGUCUCCUGUCAAAACUGGAGCUCGCACUCAUUCCAACACACUCCAUAUGGAUUUCCUGCAGGAGGAAAAGACGACUUGUCAACAAGGCAAAAGUGAUGCUGAUCAGGAUGCUCGGCCUGCGCUUAGUGCUCCUAAUGGCCUUUGGCACGUUUCACUGCGCCCAAAGGAAAGCCACCAAUCAGAGCCUGGAGUCUCCAACACAGCUGUCAAUCACUGCCAGUGACACGUUGACAAUCAAACCGUCUGAUCUAAACAUCCUAUGAGCUGUUUCAGAGGCAUGUUUCAGCUACUGAUGAGCAGUAAAACAUGUCGGGACAGAAAGCAGUCGAGCCAGGACGUGUCUCCUUGUGGACGUGUAGAUUAUGUCUCGUGUUCUACAGUCAAGAGACAGUGAGACGUUUCAUCGAAGUCACUAAAUGUUGCUUUAAAGCCGUCAUCACAAAGACAUAGUUUCACUUUGUGUGUUUGUCUUGAAGGACACGCUACAUCCAGACGGAGGAAGAUGAAGCAGGUAAACGGCUACAAAUAGAACACAAUGAAGCUGAGUAACACACACACACUGAAACACAGAGCAUCUCACCAAUGGUGAAGCUGAAGCGUCCGUGCAGAAAGUAGCACUGCCGCCCUUUUGAAACGCCUGUUUGUUGG